rnacentral:rRNA from 1 species
UACGGAGGGUGCAAGCGUUAUCCGGAUUCACUGGGUUUAAAGGGUGCGUAGGUGGGCAAGUAAGUCAGUGGUGAAAAUCUCCGGGGCUUAACCCGGAAACUGCCAUUGAUACUAUUUGUCUUGAAUACUGUGGAGGUCAGCGGAAUAUGUCAUGUAGCGGUGAAAUGCUUAGAUAUGACAUAGAACACCAAUUGCGAAGGCAGCUGGCUACACAAAUAUUGACACUGAGGCACGAAAGCGUGGGGAUCAAACAGG